CCCAAUACACAAAUAAUAAUAAAAAUAAUUAUUAUACGUUAUGUACGGAGGCAGAAGGAAAGGGCUCCUGCCCUCUUGGCAUUAUGUCUUUGGUGCCUGAGGCCUCCCAUUCACCGGUUCUAUCCUCAGACGCUGGGACAUCU
rnacentral:snoRNA from 1 species